ACCAAGUAGUGUUUUUCAAAUUGAAAUCGCCAACAACGAUGAAUUUGCUUUCAGGACUCGCUACUUCAACCAUGCUGCGAACGCUCUCGGUAUACGAUCUAUACCGUGCCAGGCUUGCGUCGGGAGAUUGAUUCUUUGACGAUGGAGCUAGCGAGCGAGGCUUUCACGGCAAUAAGAACACCGCCGCCAGAGGAUUUAUCGGCAUUGGACAAUGUACGAUCGCAACGAAAACAUAAAUAUCAUAGUCAUGUUCGA